UACGUAGGGUGCGAGCGUUAAUCGGAAUUACUGGGCGUAAAGCGUGCGCAGGCGGUUCGUUGUGUCGGCGGUGAAAGCCCCGGGCUUAACCUGGGAAUGGCCGUCGAAACUGGCGAACUGGAGUGUGGCAGAGGGGGGUGGAAUUCCGCGUGUAGCAGUGAAAUGCGUAGAGAUGCGGAGGAACACCGAUGGCGAAGGCAGCCCCCUGGGCUGACACUGACGCUCAGGCACGAAAGCUGGGGGAGCAAACAGG
rnacentral:rRNA from 1 species